rnacentral:rRNA from 1 species
UACGGAGGGGGCUAGCGUUGUUCGGAAUUACUGGGCGUAAAGCGCGCGUAGGCGGCUUUGUAAGUUAGAGGUGAAAGCCUGGAGCUCAACUCCAGAACUGCCUUUAAGACUGCAUCGCUAGAAUCGUGGAGAGGUGAGUGGAAUUCCGAGUGUAGAGGUGAAAUUCGUAGAUAUUCGGAAGAACACCAGUGGCGAAGGCGACUCACUGGACACGUAUUGACGCUGAGGUGCGAAAGCGUGGGAGCAAACAGG